rnacentral:rRNA from 1 species
CGCAUCUGUGCAUGCAGCAUAUCAAUAAGCGGAGGAAAAGAAACUAACAAGGAUUCCCCUAGUAACGGCGAGUGAAGCGGGAAGAGCUCAAAUUUGAAAUCUUAAAGGGUUUCCCUUUACGAAUUGUAGUUUAAAGAAGUGUUUUCUGUUGAGGUUUUGGUAAAAGUUCUUUGGAAUAGGACAUCAUAGAGGGUGAGAAUCCCGUAUUUGACCUUUACUUUCAACUUUGUGAUACACUUUCAAAGAGUCGGAUUGUUUGGGAAUGCAGUCCAAAAUGGGUGGUAAAUUUCAUCUAAAGCUAAAUAUUGGCGAGAGACCGAUAGCGAACAAGUACCGUGAGGGAAAGAUGAAAAGAACUUUGAAAAGAGAGUUAAACAGUACGUGAAAUUGUCAAAAGGGAAGCGUUUGACACCAGUGUUGUUUUUCUGAAAAUCAAUUAAAGAACUGUUUAUGCUAAGUUGUUUAGACUUUAUCAGCUAACUGUUUAGUUUUGAGCUUUUCUUUAAUGCACUUUUCAGUUAACAAGUCAACAUCAAUUUCUUUUGCUGUAAAAAAGCUUGAGGAAGGUGGCUUGAGAUUCGUCUUAAGUGUUUAUAGCCUCUUGCCUAUGCAGUCGGAGAGAUUGAGGUCUGCAGCGUAGAUCCUUCGGGGCUAAAUGCAUUUGUGCUAAGUUAUAGCAUUUUAUAGACAACUUGUUGACUAUGAUUUGUCAUGUAGCUUACUCGCUUAUGUUAUUUUACCUACGCUUAGGAUGUUGAAGAUGUAGCACAUCAUACACGCAUGACACACUGCAUAUCAAUAAGCGGAGGAAAAGGAGUAUACCUACGCUUAGGAUGUUGACGAGACUGUCGAUCUCAUCUAUACAUGACUCUGUGCAUAUCAAUAAGCGGAGGAAAAGCCAACUACCUACGCUUAGGAUGUUGACGCGCGUGUGUGCGUGAGUCUAUACAUGACUCUGCGCAUAUCAAUAAGCGGAGGAAAAGUAAAUGCUGUAUACCUACGCUUAGGAUGUUGACGAGACUGUCGAUCUCAUCUAUACAUGACUCUGCGCAUAUCAAUAAGCGGAGGAAAAGUCAGUACCUACGCUUAGGAUGUUGACGAGACUGUCGAUCUCAUCUAUACAUGACUCUGCGCAUAUCAAUAAGCGGAGGAAAAGCCAACUACCUACGCUUAGGAUGUUGACGAGACUGUCGAUCUC